rnacentral:rRNA from 1 species
CCCUUAGAUGUUCUGGGCUGCACGCGUGUUACAAUCGGGAGUACAACAAGAUUGCAAAUCCUAGUGGAUGAGUGGUUCUUCGAAAUUUUCUGAAGACUGGGAUAGUUGAUUGGAAUUAUUCAACUCGAACGAGGAAUUCCUUGUAAUUGUAAUUCAUUAUAUUGUAAUGAAUACGUCCCUGCCCUUUGUACACACCGCCCGUCGCUCCUACCGAUUGAACGAUCCGGUGAAUUAUUUGGAGUAGCUCUGGAAGUUGCAGAACUUCCUAUGUCACGAAAUUUUGUAAACCUUAUCGUUUAGAGGAAGGAAAAGUCGUAACA